rnacentral:lncRNA from 1 species
CUGGCAGGACAAAGGACCCCCCCCCCCGCCAAGAAUGCCCUUGGCUUGAUACUCAAGGCAGGACGGCAGCUCAGCCCUGGGACAACAAACCUAUGCAGGUUUGCCAAAAAGUGGCGUCCCUGGCAGGCAGGCCCCUUCAUGUGUGAACGCAAGGAUGGCGCACAAUCAGUCUUCAUCGGACAAAGAGACACGAGGUCACACGGCGUGGCAAUGGACGGCGGCCACGGUGCGGGAACAAAGCUGCUCUUCCCUUAUUUGCCACAUGGAUGCCUCAGGCGGGGCCAGCGGUGGAGGGAGGGAGGGUUGGGGUGGCGAGGGGAAAAAGCGCUGAGGGCGGGUGGGAGCUUCCCUGCCCUGCUUCAACCGAAACUCUCCCCCCCCACCUACCACAGGUGAAAAGGAGGGGGGGUUUCUAUGACUCCAGCAGCUCACCAUCAAACCCUAAGGGGCGGGCGCCACACAGGGAAAGCGGAGGGAGGGGGAAGGGAGGGGUCUCUCUCUCUCUCUCUCUCUCUUUGAUAUGGAUCGGACAGGCAGGGCGCGAUGUCUCGUGGCUCGAAGCGCUUCCCCGCCUCGGGAGCAGCAGCCACCUCCGCGACAGCCCUGCAUCAGCUCCCUUACCUGUGUGAACAACUGAAGCGCGAGUCAGGAGCGCAAGUUCGAGGUCGCCACGAGCAGGGUGAUUCCGAACUGGGGGCAAUAAUUAACACUUCAGUUACAAUAUUAUUAAGAGUGGAAAGACGAGUAACGAGAAGAAAGAUCCCAGAGGCUACAUCCAUACAACAGCUACAACCUUCUAUAAGCAAUGAAGAAGAAAAAACAGAAGCUUUAAAAUAUAUGAGCACCUGACAAGAUACCUUCUCAGGUGACUCUAGUUUGGAAUUGGGAGGGAUUACAUAUGAGGAAGCUAUAUGUGUACAUAUAUAUAUAUAUAUAGAGAGAGAGAGAGAGAGAGAGAGAGACCGACCGACCACGUGUGAGCGAUGUGUAACUAAUUUAAAGCAUUAAUGAUGUAUGUGUC